UUUUAGUAGUACAUUUUAGCUCUUCAAAGAGAAAUUUAUUAAAGUACAGGAGAACGGAAUGAAAAUUAAUGAUAUUUUUUUUCACACAGAGAUUUUUGGCUCCACCUAUUAAUUUUUUAAAUUUAAUAUUUCUGUUUCACAAGUAUACCACUAGGAUAGGAUUUUAAUGGAAAUUAAAUUGUAAUAAAUAUAAACUAUCCUUUAAUAUUACUUUCUAGUUUUAUCAUGAAAGUCUCUUAUCAGAAUGUCGUGUAAUAAAUUGCGACAUUUUUCAAUGUCUGUGCACUAUAGAGAUAACGAUAAAUUAUUUCUUUAUUAUUCAAACAAAGUAAAUUUUCUUUCUAAAUUUUGUAAUCGCACAAUUAACACAUUUAUAAAUUUAUUUCGAAAUUAUGCAUGUAAUUUUUUAAAAUGAAUAAUUCAAAUACAUUGGUUCUAAAAUAUAUAAAAAAAAUUUCUCUAUUUUAUUUUCUAUCGUAUUUUUAUUAUUCCAGCAUUUUAAUUUGAAAUAAUGAAUUUAAUAAUCAAUUUUAUUCACUUGGAGUAUUUUUAAAUUUAUUUUAAUGAUUUAUUUGAUUUUCACAGGAUUACGGUGGAAAAAAGAAAGCUGAGAAAAAAAUUUGCUGAGCUUAAAUAGGACUUAGAAAAGAGAAACGACAGUAGAUAAAGAUAAAAAUUAGAUAAAAGAUAAAAGUGGAGAAAAUACUGAAAGAGAAGAAUCUCGGAGACAACAGAAUCCAUCCAUAUUCGCGCGAGCCACGUGUCUUGAUAAAGAAAAAAUCCUUGAAGCACAGAAAGAAUAGAAAUCUAGAUAGACGAACUUUUAGGAAGAAUAAAGAGAAAAGUUUUCUAUGUUUAGUUUCGUUAUUGAUCAAUUCCUAUAUUUGCUCAAUCUACGAAACUUCCAAUGACAACUCUCAUUCAAACAAAAAUACAAUAAUCUAACAAAUAUAUAAUUUUUAGCCUUCAAAUCUUCGAGUUUUUCGAUUUUAUUUUCCAAUUUUCGAAUUUCGAAUCGAAUUUAGAAUCCUAACUAUCAUAAUCUUACUUUGACUUCUUUCAAAAUACUUAAUUCUCCAAAUUAGAAUAGAGAACAAGAUAUCUUUCAUCGUCCAUGCAUCAAAGCACAAAGAAGAAUCUUUCAUCGUAAUAAUCAUAUAUAUAUAUAUAAAAUAAAGGAAAUAAAAAAAGAAUAAUGAAAGAUUGAUUUUGAACAAGCAUCUCUAACGAUUUAUUCUGUGCACGUGACACGUGUCGAUGUUUGCGUCUAUGGAAGAUCAAAAGUCGCGGCAACGAAACCCCAUGAGUAUCACAUAACUCGCUGCAUUUCUAUAUGGGGUGAGAAGCGGUGGUUGUUACACGUUACAACCGGGACAGGAUGAAAUAUGAGAAUUAGAUCCAAGCUGGGCCAAUUUAUUCCGCGACCAACCCUCGACAUCGAGAAUCGAGGUGUAGUAUCCUGGUAAUCCGUAUCGAGCUGCUGUAUGUCUGUUCGAGGUUUAUCUGCUUUCAGAAAUAGAGAAGAAUCGUAAAUUGAUCGACUCAAGAUGUUGGAACAAUGAAUUUUCAUUAUAUAUGGAUCAAUAUAUAGUUAAAAUAUUCGCAAAAUAAAGUCUAAAAAGAUAAAUGAAAAUUCAAUUCAACCAAAGAAUAUUUUAAAUUAAUUUACAAUUAAAUUCAAAAUUGUUAAACAAAGAUCAAUCAAGUGGAAAUUCGAAGCUUUACUCGUGAUUUCGUGAUGAAUGUAACGAUCUAUCGUUUUAAUUUAAAAUGUACAGACGUAUAAUUCAACAAAUGUUUUAAAUAUUGUACUAUAUUUUUUUGUGUAUAGAUUGUUCUAACUAUUCAAUCAAAUCUCGAUUUCAACUGAUUAUGAUCAGAGAGAAGAUAUUGCGAAAAAUUAGGAACGUGGAUAUCGGAUCGAGAAAAUUGAAAUUACGUUUCAAUCGAGGAGGAAGAAGGGAUAUAUAAAUAAGUAGAGAAACGGAUGAAGCGGGUUGAAAAAUCGUCCCUCUUAGAGAGGGUGGCGCGAUUACCCAAGGGACCCAACCGUUCGAAAUUCCGUAAAAAAUGAAGGAUCGUUUCGUAAGAAGCACACGGGACCUGCGUUAUUGUUGGUUUUUGCAACUGGAAUGAGAUUCAUUAGGCGUGAUGGAUGUCGAGUCGACGUGACCCGUUCGAUCGUCUUCGAGUGUGUCCGUGUCAGAGAAAAAUGUCCCCAGUAACGGUUCGAUUCAUUUUAUCGACGUAGAUACCGGAUUUUUAACGAAUGGAAAUUGCUAUAGCCUUUGAAUGGAUUUAUCUAUUUCUCGUUGAUCCUAAAAGAUUGAUAUAUUUUUCUAAUAAGUGUUAUCGCUUCGAUAUCUAUGAAAAUUUGUUCACUGGUAAUUUAAUUUUUGUCUCGAAUUACUUUUAUUUCUCUCACAUGAGAGAAUAAUGUCUUUAAAGAAGAAAUUAUCAGGUAAAAUAUCGUUAAAUUUAUUUAAUCGUGAAAUCAAAGUAGAGGAAUAAAUUGAUAUGAUUUUCGAUUCGUAGCUUCUUUAGUUUUCGUAUUAAUUACUUUUCCAUGCAAGAAUUUCAAUCAAUAUAUCACGUAGCAAAGGCAGAAAUAUGGAAUUGGAGACUGUUAUUAAAUGAAAUUAUAUGAUGUUAUAAUUUAUUAUGUAGUUUCUCAUUGUGAGAAGUGCUGAUUGUAUUCAAAUUGACUACACAACCUUUGUAUCAUUACAAUAAAAUGGAAUUUCGAAACUCUUU